rnacentral:ncRNA from 1 species
AGAACUGAUAAUCCGACAAGUGGAAUGAGGGAGUAACGCCCCGAAACGCUUGCACUGAUACUCCGAUAUACAACUACCCGUGCAAUAGAGAAGUUGUAUAAAGCUUGGUGAAGUCGGCUGAGAGUAUACCCAAACAGGGUAAGCUGUGGAAAUGCAAACUAGAGGAAGUCAAGUGUGUGAUAGGCCGGGUGUCG